rnacentral:rRNA from 1 species
GACGAACCGUACGAACGUUAUUCGGAAUUACUGGGCGUAAAGGAUGCGUAGGCGGACAUUUAAGUCAGAUGUGAAAUACCCGAGCUUAACUUGGGUGCUGCAUUUGAAACUGGGUGUCUAGAGUGCAGGAGAGGUAAGUGGAAUUCCUAGUGUAGCGGUGAAAUGCGUAGAGAUUAGGAAGAACACCAGUGGCGAAGGCGACUUACCGGACUGUAACUGACGCUGAGGCAUGAAAGCGUGGGGAGCAAACAGG